CCCUGCACAAAGGAGUAUAAUAUGUUCGAGGACAACAACUGCACUGCGAGUCCUCCAACCCAUGUUUUAUGGCUAGGAGUGUUUGUCUCUACAACAUCAACUGGCGAUCAACUAGCUGUGGAAUUACUUCACCCCAAUGCUCGAGCCUUGUUUAAUAAUAAGAGUUCAAAGAACAACCACCCAUUAAAUAAACAAAUUUCAAAGAAAUUUUCAUAUUCAUUUGGCUAUUUGUUAUGAGAGGUUUUUAUUAAGCAACUUCCGUUGCUAAUGCACUUCGAUAUAGAUUAUAUAGUUUAUAAAUUGUCAUUAUACCAUGACAUUUGAAUUUUCUCAGAAAUAUAUAAAUAGAAAUACAUAUUGACUUUUAAUAUUAGUUCAUAUUCGAUAUCUUAACUAUCAACAUGAAAAUCUUCUUUGCGUUGUUCGCUCUCGUAAUUUGUUUCAAUUUAACAACAGCUCAAUCUGGCAAUUGCUACAACUUAGACUGUAGCCCUUACAACCCUCCCGAAUGUCGUUGUAAUGUUGAUUGAUGUUUCCUCCGAGAAACGAAUAGGAUUAUACUACAUUCCUUGCAAAGAUUAAGCAUCGCCCUAUUUACUUAAAAUGUGCACCACGAAUUAUAAUCCAUUCAAUAAAACUUAUAAAAAAUAUGGCUAUUUUAUUUUCUAACUUCCGUUCGAUAUAAAUUACAUAGUUCAUAAAUUCCAUUAUACCAAGUAAUAUUAAUUUCCAACUGAAAUUUAAGAACUAUUCUACCUAGAAAUAUAAAUGAAACAAAAGCGUAUUCGAUCUUGUAACUAUCAACAUAAAAGUCUGCUUUGCAAUCGAUCGUUUUACCAAUUUGUUAGUUAAUGAAAAUAAAAAGAAUUGUAUGUAUACUUA